rnacentral:rRNA from 1 species
ACGGGAGGCAGCAGCUAAGAAUAUUCCGCAAUGGACGAAAGUCUGACGGAGCAACGCCGCGUGGAUGAUGAAGGCCGGAAGGUUGUAAAAUCCUUUUAUUAUUGAGGAAUAAGCUAAGUAGGGAAUGACUUAGUGGUGACUGUAGAUAAUGAAUAAGCACCGGCUAAUUACGUGCCAGCAGCCGCGGUAACACGUAAGGUGCGAGCGUUAUUCGGAAUUAUUGGGCGUAAAGGGCAUGUAGGCGGUUUUGCAAGCUUGGUGUGAAAUUCCGGAGCUCAACUCCGGAACUGCGUUGAGAACUGCAUAACUAGAGUCACUGAGGGGCAAUCAGAAUUCCUGGUGUAGGGGUGAAAUCUGUAGAUAUCAGGAAGAAUACCAAUGGCGAAGGCAGGUUACCAGCAGAUGACUGACGCUGAGGUGCGAAGGUGCGGGGAGCAAACAGGAUUAGAUACCCUGGUA